rnacentral:rRNA from 1 species
UUAUGGCUCAGGAUGAACGCUAGCGAUAGGCCUAACACAUGCAAGGUCGAGGGGCAGCACAUGAGUAGCAAUACGAUGGUGGCGACCGGCGCACGGGUGAGUAACACGUAUGCAACCUACCUUUAACAGGGAAUAACCCGUUGAAAAACGGACUAAUACUCCAUAACACAGGGGUCCCGCAUGGGAAUAUUUGUUAAAGAUUUAUCGGUUGAAGAUGGGCAUGCGUUCCAUUAGCUUGUUGGUGAGGUAACGGCUCACCAAGGCCACGAUGGAUAGGGGAACUGAGAGGUUUAUCCCCCACACUGGAACUGAGACACGGUCCAGACUCCUACGGGAGGCAGCAGUGAGGAAUAUUGGUCAAUGGAGGCAACUCUGAACCAGCCAAGUCGCGUGAAAAGGAUGAAGGUCUUAUGGAUUGUAAACUUCUUUUGCAAGGGAAUAAAGUGGGGGACGUGUCCUCCUUUGCAUGUACCUUGCGAAUAAGGAUCGGCUAACUCCGUGCCAGCAGCGGC